UAUUUUUACAUUUUAGUCUUUUAUUAUUAACCUUUUACUCUUUUAUUAUUAUUACCUUUAUUACUCUUUCUUUUUUAUCAUGUCCAAAUUGAUAGGAAAAGGGAUGGAAAGCAUGUUGAGGCCCCACCACACAAGCCAGGUCUCACGAUUUUAUACACUCAGCAAGGGUCACGUUUUUACAUCCAUAAGCAAGUCAUAUAGAGAAAUUUGAGGAAGUUUUCUUGGAAAAAUUCAUCUUCACGUGUUACUCUCUUGCAGCAAAUUCACUUGAGAUUUCAAAUUCCAUUUCAAACAAUCACAAUUCAACCAAUCAUGUCCAUUCAUUGAAUCUCAUCAAAGGCUUACAAUUGUCCAAGAAGCAUCACACGGAUUCCUUUUCAAAUCUGUAACAAACUUCUCAAUUCGCCCUCCAAUUUUUCCUCUCAAAUCCUUCACACAAUAUGCACCGAACCUGUUCUAUAAAUACUCACUCAGAUCAUCACAGAAAGAGGAGGAGAAAUAAUAUAUUGUUAUGCUGUUGAAAUCUCAUCAGAAACUCUCCUCCAAAAUCUCAAAAGAAAACUCUCGUACACAAAAACUUCCAUUCAAAUCUUCUUCCAAAAAUUCAUUACACCAAGGUGAUUCACACCUUCAAUUCACAACUUGCAGAUCGAUAACUCAGCUUCAUCGAUUCUUUAUCACCAAUUCCAGAUUCAACUAUUUCAUACAUCAUCAUCAACUUGCAUCAACGGUCGUGUAAUAAGCUCAUAUCCAUCAUCCUUACUUCAACGAACAACAUCAUCAUAGAUCCAUCUGCAACACAGUUUCAGUGUCAUCAACACAUAUCCAAACACCGACUCUUCAUCAACUCUCGCGAUUUAUUUUCGGAGAAGGAGAAUAAAUCGGAAUACAAUGGAUGUGCAUACCUAUCUCUGGCUUUCUCAUCUUCGCAGCUUCUAAAGAGCCACCGGAGCUACUCCGGUAGGUAAGUAUCGGUCCUACUUUUCCUAAGCUUUUGUGUGUAUGUUUGUAUGCAUAUUUGUUUGCUAUAAACUUUGGAUUUGUUGUUGUUGCCGGUUCAUUGGAUGGUUUUUAGUAUUGUUCGAUGUUAUGUUUCUUGAUUUGCUAGUUUGGAAUCGGAACUGAAAAUAAGAACAUAGGAACCGAGUAUAAGAUCUGAGAGGAGAGUUUGAGAGGAUUUCUUUAAGGUGAGAGAUCGGGAGAGAGUUUAGAAACGAGAGAGGCUCGUGAGAGAUGAAGAGGAAGGUCGUUGUUGUUGUGUGUACGACAGAGAAGGAGUUACAGAGAGAUGAGAAAGUUACAGAGUGAGAGAGUCAAGAAGAUGAACAGAGCAAGCAACGUUAGAAAGAGAAAACAGCCAAGAGAAGAGAUGGUUAGCGCUUUAGGUUUUCUUUUCUUUGCUAUAAGUUUAGUUGGGCCUUUAACCCAGCAGCCCAACCCAAAUUCCUCUCUCUCACCCUAUACUUCUUGCGCACCUCCCCUCUGGUGUUUAUUUGAUUUCAAAUUUAGGCCUUAGUGUGCUAGUUUGGGCCAGCUUUUCUUUAGUUUAAACCCCAUUUUAUUUUAAUUCUAUAGCCCAUUCCUCUUGUUUUAUUUUUCUUGUGUGUUAAUUUUUUUUAGUUGAUAUUAAAAAAAUACCAAAACAUGAUCUUAUUUUAAAUUUAGACUUUAUUUUCAUUUUCAUAUUAAAAACCACACAAAUAUUUUAACUUGUUUAUUUUCCUUUUUAUCUCCUUAUGUUUGUAUAUAUUUAUAUUUUAUAUUUUCUUUUCAUUUCAAAAUGCUUUGUUCGAUUUCCUUUUAUUUUCUUUUUAAACACAUGUUAACUCUGUUCCACGACAAUUGCGUGAGUCUCCAAAGGUCGAGCAGCAGUGGAAUGCGACGUUUAACAUCACACACACACAAAAUCUUUUGAGCCGAACUACGGCUGCUCUGAUUCCUUAAUCGGGAUACGUAGGCAUUAGGUCGCGGGGCCUGAACGAGCACAAUCUUGUAUAUAUUUUCUUUCUUUUCCCCGUGUUUCUUUUCUCUUCUUUCUUCGCGCGUUUCCCUUUAGUUUUAGGUUUAUAUUUUUAGAUAACACCCUUAGAUUUAGACUAACAAGAGCGGAUCCCGUCGAGUACGACGGACGUAAGGAGUGCUAAUCCCUUCUCCUUGCGUAACCGACACCCUUACUUGUUUCUCUGGGUCGUAAGACCAUUGUUUGUUUUCUUUAUAGGUUUUAGUCGAUGUUUUACUUUCCCAUUUUUGGGAUAAAUAAAAAAUCGAUGGCGACUUCAUUGAUUUCAUCUUGAUGAUUUCGAUCCAGUUGUUUCAGCUGGCAACUUCACUGGGGACAUAUUGACCUUUGUUAGGCCCAUCCUAAGUGUCAGUCCUAGCCCUUGUUUGAUUUUAUCUGUGGGUGUUUGCUUUCUUUAUGUUUUAUUUGUAUAUUUGUAUAUAUUGCUUUAUUUGUUGUUAUAUUCUCGUUAUCUGUUGUUCUGUAUAUAUACUGUUUUGUAUCUGCUGUUUUUUCUGGUGGGUGGGAUGUUACUGUGGUAAAAGGCCUAAUACCCAGGCUAUGUGUGAACCAUAGGAACACUAGGAUAGAGUGGGAGCAUGGUUUGUCUCGAGGUGUACGCCUCAGGAUGGAUUAUGUGACUACGAGCAGAGUAGUGGUUUUAAAUGGAGGUAUUAUCGUCACCCGCAUCCGCGCUGUGAUGGUACUUACUUUUAGGCGGACCGUAUGCUGCGUUUCUCGACCUUACCCUGACCUAGAUUACACUCGUGAGUGAGGCGAGAAUCAAUUAUUUUUACAGGUACAUUGUUGGUGACUAUGGUUCUUAUUCGAGUGGUUCCGUCUCUGUUUGAUGGUGACUGGGUUCUGAUCCUAUUGGUUACUAUGGUUCUGCUGGUUACUUGUUUGCAUCUGGCAUUACAUCUUGCAUUGCAUGUCAUUGCAUAAUCCUUGCAUUCAUCCAGGUUGCUUAAAACCUCAUUUUUAGUUGUUGCUUCCUUCCAACUAGUUGUUGAUCGUUAAGUUGAUUCCUUGACACGUUGAACUAAGAAGCAUGUAUCUGAAGACUAUGGAAGAAAUUUAACAAGACCAAGAGUUAUUAAGAGCUGAAGUUAACCAGUUGAAAAGUCAGAUGAAUCAGAUCAUGGGAAUCCUGCAGGUCUUAUUGAAUAGAGAAGACAAAGUUCCUUUUGAUGUUUCAAAGCAAGUUGGUGCUCCUAUAGUUAUUCCAAAUUCUACUACAGUCCAAAGGCAAUAUCAUCCAGUGAGCACUCUAGUACCAGCUUGUGGCCCUUCUCCUAAAGAUCUUCCUCAACCCUCAUUCUCAAAACUUCUUGAUCAACAAUCUCUGUCUACUCUACGACAAAGCCAAGGAGAUCAGCAAAAAGGCGAGAAUCUAAACAAACUUCUAAGGAAGCAACAAAAGAAGCCCCGCCACUAUGAUCUUAUUCCAAUGACGUCUGCUGGAUUGUUUCCUCAAAAAGUUCAAGUUCCCCAACCUCGGGCUGCCAACCAAAAUCAGAACCGCGAUAGGACUCACUUUGAUCCUAUUCCCAUGACUUAUACUGAAUUGUAUCCUCACUUGGUUAAAUUGGGUUUGAUCACCACAAGGUCUUUUACUCCUCGAGAUCCCCCUCCUGCUGGAUUCAGGGUUAGUCUUCAUUGUGAGUUCCAUCAGGGAGCUGCUGGUCAUGAUUUAGAGCAUUGUUAUGCACUGAAGGUUAGAGUGAAAGACUUGAUCAAAGGAAAAAUGAUAAGUUUCGACGCUCGUACUCCAAAUGUGAUUUACCAUCCUUUUCCAGUUCCUGACAAGUGAAGCUUCAAUCAAAGUCAGAUUAUCUCCUAAAGCCAAGUGUUUCAGACAGGACAUCUCAUCCUUUUUGCUGAUUAGUCACUAUGCCAUAUUUCUUUACUGUUUGCAUUUAUUUCAAUUGUAAUGUCUGUUUAAUUUCAAACUUGUUUGUUUCUUACUGUUAAUUUUAAUGAAAUGAGCACUGCAUGUUUUGAUUCAAUUCUUCUCAUUUACUACUUUGUUUCUUUCAAAAAAUAAAAAAGUUUCUCUUAUUUGCUUUCUUUACCAUAUUGUUGUUUAUGCAAAGAUUGGAGGGAGGAUGAUGAAAGCAGAAUACCCAUAAUUGUUGUUAGUGUGCUUUUGAAUAAAACUUUACUGAUGAUGUACAUGCCUUGUUUCAAUUCCCAAACACUGGAGAAAUAAGGAAGUUAAUCCCUUGUCAACCCCUCUGAGCCUUCGAAGUUGGAGUUUCUUUUUGAACGAAAAACCCGCAAUUUUAACCUGGGGAUGGGUAGUUUUCAGUUUAUUCAUUUCUACAUUCAAAUACAAGAGUUUCAUUCAAGACACCUUUCAAUAAGGUUGCAAUUUCAAGCUUACCUUCGCAUACAUCAAAGAAAUGUCGAAGACGUCCUUCAAAGUCAAAAGUGAUGAUGAUGGUUCUCCGUAAUUGUUAAUCAGGGCAGUCACUAUCUUGCAAGAAAAAAAAUAAUAAAAAAAUAAGUAUCAAAGAAAAGCCCGAUAAGUCAAAGCCUUUGAAGGAGACUUAGGCAAAAUAAAACUGGGGUAUCCCGCUGACUGUAAAUCUCAAAUAAAACAGUUCAGGCAAAAGUUAGGGAAAUUAGAUGAAAAAGUUGAAAAAAAAGAGAAGUCAAUAAUUCCUAGACAACAAAAUGUUGUAAAAGAAGUGACUGCCACCUCAAAGUAUAUUCCUCGGCUUCUGAAUCAUCAUUGUCAAACAAGUGCUGCAAAUUCCAAGUCCUCUUGAAAACCUGAAUGCAUAGGUUGAAUUAACUGAAUGUAGGAUGGGAGUUCAUCAUGAAGAAGGGGUGGGUACAAAUAAAUUUUGAGCCUUAUGUCCUUUGUUUCUAAAACCGUGAACCAAGUCACGUUACAACCUUCAAAAGUCCUAAUUGUAGCCAGGUUUAAUUUGAAAGCGUACUACAACAAGGUUGCGUUAACCUGACUCCCAAAAGUUGUGCCAAUCAUUUGUCUUGAUCUAUUUGCUUUACUUUUCACUUCAAAUGCCAUGUUUCACCUUUCUCUGUUGCUUUACAAAUCCAUUUCUAUUGAUUUCAAAAACUUGCAUAUUUCUUUGCAUUUAGGUUACCAGUUUUAAACAAACAUUUUUGCCUGUAAACAACAUUCCUCAUUAAGGAAUUUCAAACAGUUGAAGAAACUUGGUCCGUGAUUUUAUUAGGGGCAUUUCAUUUCAAGAUUCAGUUCAAGGUUUAUCUCAGUGCAAGCUAUUCUCAUAUUUGGUUUAUCAUAUCUCUUUCAAGAUUAAUGCUGGGGCAAGUGUUUCCAAGUGUCCAGUAAAGCUGUCAUUUCCAAAUUAUUCAAGCUGAAGCCAUGAUCAGUUGUUCUACAUUAAUCAGUCAAGCUGGGGCAAUCUUCUUCAAAAGAAUCUCCAAGCAAUUUAUCAGUCCCCUCAGUAGGAAAUCAAUUUCCUGCCUGCAGAUUUCAAAACCAGGCACAAAAAACAGAGUGGAAAUCAUUUCCCUCUGUAGGAAAUCGAUUUCCUGCGCACAGUUUUCAAAAAAACAGCAUUAUGGAUUGUGAAACUUGAUUUGGGCAAACAUAUAAACACCUUAUGAUUACAUAUCAAUUGGAGCACGAAUUCUCCAUCAAUUCACCAUCAAAUAGGACCAAUAUAGCAUCAAAGAUGCAUCACACACAAGCACAAACAAAUCACAUUAUGAUAGAUGAAAAAGGAUGAAGAAAAUUACCAAAUCUUGAACAAAACUUAGAUCCACUUCAAGAAUCACCAACACAAAUCUUGAUCUCCCAACAAUUGAAGAAAAAAGAGUGAAAUGGAUGGUGGUUUAGCUCAAAGUUUGUGAGGUUCAAGAUGUGACUCACAAACUUUAUGAAAGAACAAAAGCUUUGGUGAAUUUGGUAGGGAUGAAGAGAGAAAUUGCAAGGGUUUUGUUGGCUUUCCAAGAUUGUGAAAUGAGGGAGUAGAGACCUCUAUUUAUAGGAUUGGAGCAAGAGUAGUGGCAACUUGGUCUUUUUGAAUUUGGUAAUUAAUUUGUGCUUAAUUGGUGUUUAAAUGGUAAAAUGAAGUUAAAAUGGGUUUAAUGAAGGGAAUUAAUUUUGGUGAGGUGGAAAAUUGGUAAAAUGACAAAAAUGAUCAAAGAAAAAAGGUGCCAAAAUGAUGUCAUGCUUUGUAACACCCCAUAUUUUCAUUAAUUGAUUUAAUUUGGAAUUAAAUUAUUUAUUUGAAAUUAUUUGGCAUUUGAUUGGAUUUAAUUGAAGAAUUGUGGAAAAAGAGGUUAUUGGGCUUAAUUUGGUGUUAGUAAAGAGGGGGGUGCUAUGUUAGUAGGCCUUUUACUAAAUUAAAAUAUAUUUUUCAUAAAAUAAGGAAUUGAGGAGAAAAGGAAAAAUAGAUGUGGAAGAGAAGCAGAAGAGUAGAAGUGCUGAUACGUGAAAGAGGAACAGAAGAGGAAGAGGGCUAAUCAAGAUCCUUGGCUAAGAUUGGCGAGUAGCGGCUUUUGGCUCGGUGAGGAUUAGCUCAUGAGUCAGUUCGUUUAGUAUAGCGUCGGUGUCAUGCUCUGAUAUUGUAACACUGGGGGAACGCUAGUUUAGAGUUUAUGAUAAUACUCUAUCGUGUUGUUAUUGUAUUAAUUCUGCGGGAUACUGCAUAGAUGAUGUUAUGCUUAUCCGAAUGAUGAAUUGUCCGCUGUGUUAACAUGAGAUGUUUAUGUAUUAUGAUUUUGUUAAAUGGAUGAUUUUCCCCUAAGUGAAGCAUGGCAAUUGAUUUAUGAUAAUUUGUUUUAAAUUGAAUUGUGGCACCCUUGUUUUCAUGUUUUACUCUGAAUUAUUUUAUUAAUUUCCGCGGGGUUUAGAAGGGUGUUACAAUAGUGGUAUCAGAGCAGGUCGGUCCGUCCGGCCAAUUGUUGAGUCAGUUGAGUUGCGCGGCAGUUGUAUAUUGUCGGCAUAUUAUUCCUUGGUACGCGACAUGUGAGUGAAUCACUGUCGGUACUUGGUUGUUUGUUGCAGGUGUUGGAUUGAAACAAGUGGGGGAGAAGCUUCGCUUCUCGGUUAUGUUUCAGUUGUAAGAAGAUUGAUUCAGUAGGCUGUUGUUGGCAACAGUGCGAGCGUUGUUGGAGUUUGUUGUUUCCCGAAUUGAAGGUGACUUGGACUUAAGACUUCACUGGGAAUUGAGUUGGAACAUCUUGAAGGAAGAUGAUUAGAGGUAAUUGACAGUUAUUGUAAGAGAAGGAAAUUGGAAAGUUGUGAUGUGUCAGCUCUACUGGUGUGCUGCGAUGUUGUCAGUUGUGUAGCCUUACACCUCGGAAGAGAGUCACCUGCAAGUUGCAAAGAGGAUUGAUGUCGUAAUGUUCCAGAAAUUGCGCUUCGGCGAUGGGAAGUGUUGCUCAAGUUAUAAUAAUGUUUGGAAGUGAAGAGAUACGAUAAGGGGCUGUUUGGAAUGUGAUAGAGUUGAAGAGAAUGAGUUUUGGAGAGAGAUUUUCGUAAGCAAAACGCAGGAAAAUUGCUGAAUAGCUGCGGAACUUCGAAAAUUCAUAACUGGAAUUCUGGACAUCCGAAUUGAGUUCCGUUUGAAGCGUUGGAAAGCUAACGAGAUGAACUUUGUUAUAAAAAUAGUUGCAGCAGCUGUAACAUAUUUAAUUGUGACAGGAUGACGUUGGAAAGAGGUGGAGUUACGGUUACUCUUGUUCUUAUAACUAGACUUGUUUAUUGGUACUGCACGGGAUGUCAGUGUUAGUGUCAGUGUUGAAUGGAUCGAAGGAAUAAUUAGAAGGUUUGUUGAGGAGUAAUUUUAAGAAUUGAAUUUACCAAUUGAGGAGUUUUGGAUAUAUCGUAUAGAGUGUCGCUGCAUGAUGUCAGUGUUGCAUUUUUCGGGCAACGAUUGGAAAAUUCAUAUCUUGAGUUCCGAGUGUCGGAUUAACGUGCCGUUUGAACCUAUGAAGAGGAGAGAUUAUGUUCUACAUUAUGGGAAAGUUAUAAGUACAGUAGAUUGAUCCUAUGAGGAGAUAUUCUGAAGACGGUUAAGGAAGCAUGAAACUUGUUGAAUAAGAAUGCCUACUACCGCGAUUGUUUGAAACGAAGUUGAGUAGAACAUGUUGUUGAUGAAUAAGUUGAUGAGAUGUUCGAUCAUAAAGAUGAUUUGAGUACCGAUGGAUUUUAGUGAGAAGUGAAUUAGUAGUAAAGGUGGAAUAAACUUUAGAACGGUUGAAGUCGUAUUUGUGAUGCCAAAGUAACGACAAGUAUAAAAGAAGAAUUGUAGAGAAUUUCUAACACCUAUUGAUAUGAGGAAGACUUUGUUGAGAUUCCGAGUGAAAUAAUAUUGGUAUGCGAAAGAAGUCAUGAGAUUGGGAGUGAAACCACGAGUUAUGAAUGUUGUGUUAUUGUGUUGCGUAGGAAGUCUUUAAAUACGUCGGUGCUAAUGGUGAAGGAGUUGGAUUUAAUUGGACAAUUUAGAGACUUAAGUUGGUAUGUGAAGGAACUCGUAAUAGUGUUAGAUUGGGUAUGCUAGGAGAUUACUAGUGGUAUUCUUGACGAGAUUAGAGAAGGUCAGAAAGCUGAUGCUGAGUUGAUCGACAGGUUGACUUUGAAUUACCAAGGUAGAGGCGGUGGAUUCAGAAUCAACGAGAAUAGUAUAAUGAGGUUGAGUGGUUGAAUUUGUGUUCCUGAUGUUUUGAGCUUCGGAAGGAUAUUCUAGAAGAAGGACACCGUAUUGAAUUAUUGAACUAUGACGAUGUUAAUGAGUUUGGGUGCAAACUCAGAAAGGACACUGUUAUGUAGUAACGACAGUUUAUGCUUAAAUAUGGUUGUCGGCUAUCUAUUGACAAAUUGAGGACUUGAUCACCCUUAAUCUCUUGUUGGUAGUAGACGGAAAUCAUAUAAAUGAGAUGAACUUGUUUUGUUACCUUAAUGGUAUAAGUUGUGAUGGAUAUUAAGCCGUGAGGAUAAUCACUCACUACGUUGUGUGAACUUAUGAGGAAGUGAAUAUGAAAGAGUGCAACAUGAUGGGCAAAUGACUUAAAACGGGUAAUCAGAGUCGUGCAGCGAAAGUGCGAUGUGGAGUAGUGUUAUGAGUACUACUUGGGGGAAGUGAGGAAUUAAUAUGUCAGGAGCUUACCUGGGGAAUAUGUGUCGAUCUAUAUGUUGGAUUUAGAACCCAGUGGAUGUAAGGAUGUCGGGUCGAAGAAUUAUAAAUCUUUUGAAUAAUUGCCGAGAUGAUGAAUAUGUUAUUAUGGUUGUACGUAGUUAACGAGUAUGUAUUCGGCGGAAUUAAAACGAAGAGUUGAUGUUAUAUGAUGCUGUAAUAAUUUUGUGCUGUUAAUAAGGUGAUAUUGUAUAUUCCAGAUAUAAUGAGGAAUUAUACUCCAUGAAGGACGAAGUUGAUUUAAUUAUUAGAAAAGAGCGAGACUCAGUUUAAGCUAUUUUGUAAGCGAUGGUAUAUUAAGGUUGAUGAAUGUGAUUAUAACUACUUGGGUGUACUCGUUCCGAUGGUUGGAAUGUUUUAAUAGAUGUAGUAACUUAGGAAUUUGUUUUUGAGUGCGAGUAAGUAUUGAUAAGUGGUAGAUUAGUACCAUGAAUGGUAAAGAAUGAUUCUUGAACGAAUGAGUAAAGAGAGUUGGAAUCGGUUAAAACUCAGAAAUCUAAUUGGUGUAGAUGGUUGUAAUGAGUAAUCGGAGUAGUGUAGCGGAAGUAGAAUGUAAAGUGUUGGGUGAUUGAUGGAGUGACUUAAGAGGAUCCAGAUAAUUGGAAUUCAAUGAUAUAGGAAUACGAGUAUUGAGUUUCUUGAAGAAAGCAGUUGGUGAAAAGUGUAAGUGUUAUUUUAUCGCUCAGAUGGAAAAAGUGUCUAAGGAUGGUAAGUUCGGUAGAUGGGAUCCAUUACUGUAUUGUUGAUCAAGUGUGAUCAUACUAUAAAUUGUGUAAUUGUAUUACUCGGUUGUUGAGCGUAUUGUAUAGGUUGUACCUCAAUGUUCUGUUGUUGUUAACCUUUUGGGGGUAUAGCGAGUGGUAUACUUUUGAAUAGUCAAAUGCGACGUAAGAACUGGGAUUUGAAUGUAUGGAACAUGUUUCCUGUUGGUUAUGUCAGAUGGAUUUUCGAGGAGUGACUGAUGGUAAUGUUGAUUGGGAGCUGGAGAGUCAGGUGAAGGACUCUUAUACGAGCUGGUUACUUGAGGUAUGUUUUCGAGGACGAAAACUCUUUUAGUGGGGGAGAGUUGUAACACCCCAUAUUUUCAUUAAUUGAUUUAAUUUGGAAUUAAAUUAUUUAUUUGAAAUUAUUUGGCAUUUGAUUGGAUUUAAUUGAAGAAUUGUGGAAAAAGAGGUUAUUGGGCUUAAUUUGGUGUUAGUAAAGAGGGGGGUGCUAUGUUAGUAGGCCUUUUACUAAAUUAAAAUAUAUUUUUCAUAAAAUAAGGAAGUGAGGAGAAAAGGAAAAAUAGAUGUGGAAGAGAAGCAGAAGAGUAGAAGUGCUGAUACGUGAAAGAGGAACAGAAGAGGAAGAGGGCUAAUCAAGAUCCUUGGCUAAGAUUGGCGAGUAGCGGCUUUUGGCUCGGUGAGGAUUAGCUCAUGAGUCAGUUCGUUUAGUAUAGCGUCGGUGUCAUGCUCUGAUAUUGUAACACUGGGGGAACGCUAGUUUAGAGUUUAUGAUAAUACUCUAUCGUGUUGUUAUUGUAUUAAUUCUGCGGGAUACUGCAUAGAUGAUGUUAUGCUUAUCCGAAUGAUGAAUUGUCCGCUGUGUUAACAUGAGAUGUUUAUGUAUUAUGAUUUUGUUAAAUGGAUGAUUUUCCCCUAAGUGAAGCAUGGCAAUUGAUUUAUGAUAAUUUGUUUUAAAUUGAAUUGUGGCACCCUUGUUUUCAUGUUUUACUCUGAAUUAUUUUAUUAAUUUCCGCGGGGUUUAGAAGGGUGUUACAUGCUUCCCUCUUUAUUUUUUUGAAUUUUCGCCCCAGGAAAUCGAUUUCCCAUAUGGGUAAAUCGAUUUCCACCUUCAAAUUUCCAAAAAUUGUUUUCUUACACUGUUUUGAUUUUUGCCCGAUCUUUUACCUGUAAAAUAUAAACAAAAGAGACAAAAUACAUAUUUUUGGAUUUUGGUUAGUAUAAAACAAAUAAAAAGCUAAAAGUGCUUGAUGAUUCCCCUCAGAGAUAAACACAAUAUCAAGAAUGGAGCUUCACAAUGGUGCUCUUGAUUGAUGAUUAAACUACAACCAAUGUAUGAUCUUAGGGUCAAAAAUUGGGGUAUGGCAGUACCCACAUUCUCUUGGGUCCUUUUGGGUUAGUUCUCCUCAAGUUCUGAUUGAACUGAGGUUAAGCAAAAGAUUUAUCAUAUGAUUUUCUGGUGUGUGUGCAACAUGUUUCUUGUUGUGUGUUAUAUGGAAACUCUUAGAGUUAGAUGUGCGCUUUAUA